rnacentral:rRNA from 1 species
GAGUUUGAUUCUGGCUCAGGACGAACGCUGGAGGCGUGCUUAACACAUGCAAGUCGGACGAGGACAUAUUGAAGCUUGCUUUGAUAUGAGCCGAGUGGCGGACGGGUGAGUAACACGUAAGUAAUCUGCCCUUUAGUUGGGGAUAACCCCGGGAAACUGGAGCUAAUACCGAAUAUCUUCAUUUUUUUGCAUGAAGAGAUGAAGAAAGGUUUUUAUCGCUAAAGGAGGAGCUUGCGGCUGAUUAGCUAGUUGGUAGGGUAAUGGCUUACCAAGGCUACGAUCAGUAGCUGGUCUGAGAGGAUGAACAGCCACACUGGGACUGAGAUACGGCCCAGACUCCUACGGGAGGCAGCAGUGGGGAAUUUUGCGCAAUGGGGGAAACCCUGACGCAGCGACGCCUCGUGAGUGAUGAAGUGUUCGGCAUGUAAAGCUCUGUCAGCAAGACGAUAUGACGGUUUCUGCAAAGGAACUCGGUAACUACGUGGCAGCAGCCGCGUAAUACGUAGGACGAGCGUUGUCCGGAUUUAUGGGCGUAAAAAGUGCGUAGGCGUUUUGAAGUUUAAAGUUAAGCUGAGCUUAU